rnacentral:tRNA from 1 species
GGGAAUGUGGCUCAGUGGUAGAGUGCUUGCUUAGCAUGCAGGAGGCCCUGGGUUGAAUCCCCACUACUG